GAAUGGUUGUUCUGUCAAGGCAUCGGAGUACUCAGAAAAUUGGGCCGAAACUAUCUGUUCCACCCCCCUUGAAUUUGCCUUCAUUGAGGAAAGAGCAUGAGAAAUUUGAUUUAUCAGGAUCCGGUGGUGGGACAUCAGGAGGUGGCGGUCAAGGAAAUGGGCCGAGGCCAUCAUCUUCUGGUAUGGGUUGGACUAAGCCUGCUGCUGUUGCAUUGCAAGAUAAAGAUGUAAAUACUGAUGGUCAGGUUGUU
rnacentral:lncRNA from 1 species